rnacentral:rRNA from 1 species
CAGUAGCCGCGGUAAUACGAAGGGUGCAAGCGUUACUCGGAAUUACUGGGCGUAAAGCGUGCGUAGGUGGUUGUUUAAGUCUGCUGUGAAAGCCCUGGGCUCAACCUGGGAAUUGCAGUGGAUGCUGGGCAACUAGAGUAAGGUAGAGGAUAGUGGAAUUUCCGGUGUAGCAGUGAAAUGCGUAGAGAUCGGAAGGAACAUCUGUGGCGAAGGCGACUAUCUGGGCCAUUACUGACACUGAGGCACGAAAGCGUGGGGAGCAAACAGGAUUAGAUACCCCUGUAGUCCCUGUCUCUUAUAC